GUCCAUAAGAAAGCAUCUCUGUUUUCAUGUCCAUCAGUAGCCAAAUGGAAUUUUGAUAUAAACAUUUCCAACAUACCAACUUUGGAUAAAUGCACAACUCAGAAAAUAAUUCAAUAAUGCACGUAUCAAGAUACUACCAACAAAUUCAUUAAUAUCCAAGACUCAUUACUGAGUGUCAAAGUCAAGCAAGGUCAAGAUUAUUUUCAUUAUGAUGAGCUGUA
rnacentral:lncRNA from 1 species